UUUCUCUUCUUAAUAUUCCGGAACUUUCGAAUUUUUUAAAGUCGAGUGAGUGAGAAAGAGUACUAUAUUUAUAUAAUUUUUUAUUCAAUUUAAUAUUAUCACUCACUUUCCCACUCAUUCCUCCUAUUUAAGCCACCUCCCCAUGGCCUACGUGGAUAUUAUCUUCCUCUCUUCUCCCUCCCAACUGCCAUUAACGAACUCUUAAACCAUAUAUGUCAGCACCACAACAUCAAAUCACUUUCAUCAUUCACUUUCAAAUCCGAUAACAAACAAACAGUUUCCCAAGAUGGUUUAGUUGGAACAAUUUGAUCCAAGUUACCAAACAAUCAUUUCUUUUUCUUAAAUCGAUGAAUCCGUUUCUGCUCCAAGAAAAUGUUCCACCACCGUCACCACCAAAACCAAUCGAAGGGUUGCACGAAAUAGGACCGCCUCCGUUUCUGAUCAAGACAUUCGAGAUUGUGGAGGAUCCAAACACGGACCACAUCGUGUCUUGGAACAGAGGAGGCACUAGUUUUGUCGUCUGGGAUUUGCAUUCUUUCUCUGAGUUUCUUCUCCCUCGUCACUUCAAACACAGCAACUUCUCAAGCUUCGUCAGACAACUCAACACUUACGUAAGUCUUCUUCUUUUCUCUGACCCAACAAAACUCAAAUGCUCUGUUUUUCUGUGUUAGUAAAAUUCAAUUUUUUUUUACUGCAAAAAUGGGUUAUUUCUAGAAACAUCGAAUAAUGUAGAUUCUGUCUGGUAGUGGGAGAAGAAGAAGUCUCUUUAGUAAGUUCUAGAAUCUUGGCUCGUGCCACCAUGCUUUCUAAAACAAUUAGUAAGUUCUAGAAUUUUGGUUCUUGUCAACUUGGUUUCUAAAACAAUUAGUAAGUUCUAGAAUCUUGGGUUCGUGCCAACUUGGUUCUUAAAAUAAUCAAGAAAGCGUUAUCAAUCUUAUCACAAUAUAUAUUUUUUAUAGACUAAGGUUGCCCACUUGUUCCAUUUUUUUUUAUAAUAUCUUCUGAUAGUACACAUCUCUCUCCAAUAAUUUUUUGUUUGUCUAAUCACACUUUUGAAACCUUAUAGAUAUUUUCAAAUAAAAUUUUGAAAACUAUUUAUAGGGUUUUAGAAAGAUAGAGGCAGAGAGAUGGGAGUUUGCAAACGAAGGGUUUCUCUUGGGACAGAGACAUUUACUGAAGAGCAUCAAGAGAAGAGCUUCCUUUGCUUCAUCAUCGAUUAUUCAAGAUCCUUGCGUAGAGCUUCGUAAGGAGAAGCAACUGCUGUUGAUGGAGCUGGCGAGUCUGAGACAGCAGCAACAAACCGCGAGAAUUUACAUCAAAUCCAUGGAGCAGAGGAUCGAAGGAGCAGAGAAGAAACAGAGAAUGAUGAUGUCGUUCUUGGCUAGGGCGUUUCAGGGCCCUACGUUUCUGUAUCAGCUACUCCAGGAGAGAGACAUGAGACUUAAGGAGGUUGAGGUUGAGGUAGAAGAGAGGGAAAGAGGUUCUUCGGUGUCUGAACUCGAGGCUCUGGCGCUGGAGAUGCAAGGGUAUGGGAGACAGAGGAAUAUGAAGGAAGAAGAGGAUAUGGUGGUCGAGAGAGAGUUGGACGAUGGUUUCUGGGAAGAGUUGCUUAGUAAUGAGAGUUUGGCUUCGACCUCCUCUAACUAAGAUGUAUUCCUUUUGCCUUUUAGCUGUAUUUUGAAGUUUUUUUUUUGUUCUUUUGUUUAUUUUUAAGCACCUUUUUAUUCCCUUGUCUAUUUUCCAGCUUUUUUUAUCUAGUAGUGUAAACUAAAAGUCUAUACAACACGACGUAGUUCCUGUAUGUACGUUGACAAUCAUAUGAAAAAUAGUUUGUCGGUAAUUCCACAGCCGUUGACAAGGCUUUAAAUUAAUAAUGUCUUGUAGUGAAGUGAUCUCUUGAUUAUGUGGGUAGGGGAGAAGUGAACUCAGUGAGCAAAACAGUUGCUUGUACUUGCAGGUAACUUUUAAUGAAUAUACGGUUUGAGGAAAUUUAGGUAAACCUCGUAUAGGUGUGCAAUUUUGAAAACGAAAUAUUCUUUUUGUCCAUGUUUUAGAAAAAAAAUUGUUUCUAAAAAAUCAAUAUUUUACCUUUUCAAUAUAUGUAAUAAUGACAAACUAGAUUUUGACCCGCGCUUGAAAGCGCGGGUUUGGUUUUGUUUUGCUUUUCAUAAUUAUAAAAUUUAGGGUUUGAAUCAUAUAAUUUUAAAGAUUAUAUCACUAAUAUAUAGGUCAUUUGCGUAAACACAAUUAAUUUGUAUGAAAUUAGAUCACGCGUUUGCGUUUUUGAAGUUUGUUCGAAAUUUGUUUGAAGAUUCAUUUGUGUGUAAAAAUAGUAUAGCAAUUUGAAACUGGGAUAGAUAUAGUGUUAUUAGUAACGAUUUAUGUUACAUUUAAUUGUAUGUCUAUUAACAAUCAAACUACCAAUUAUAAAACCAAGUAUUAGAAUAUUUUUAAUUUUUUUUAUAAAAGUAUCUAUAAUGUAAAUCUAAACUACAAUUUCCUAUUUUCUAAGAGUAUUAGAGAUAUAUGUUCCAUUAUUAAAAGUUAGAUUUUAAAAAGAAUGUUUUAUUCACAUAUAUUUUUGUAAGUUAUGUUCUUAAGUAUUUGGGCUUUAUUCUAUUUUAAAUUUAAUGUGGGUCUCAAUUUAAUUAUGUUUAAAUUUUUGGUCUUAUUAAUUUGGGGUUUAUCUGUGUUAGAAAUUAAUUGUAUAGUCGAUGGUACUAUGCUCCUUGUGGGUGAAAUGAAUAUUUCGAUGUUUUUAUAAGUGGAGGAAUGAAUAUUUUGAUAACGUUAUGUUAUAAUAGGCUGUGCUUUGGUUUUGGUUCAUGUCAUUUAUUUUGUUUAGGUAAGGUGGUUUAGCAAUCGAUUUAAAUAGUUAAGAAUAAAUAAUAAUGUAUCCAGUUUGAUAGUUAGAGUAAAAAUCGCUUAUAUAUAGGUAAAAUAUCUUGUUAUGUAUUGUUAUAAUAUAUAUGAGAAGUCCAAAAAAAAAAUAAAAAAGAAAGAGUCCAAACAACUUUUUUAAGUAGAUUUAUUAAAAGUACUUCUCUUUUAAUAGUAUAGAUUAUAAAUUUCAAAAAUAUUAAUCGCAAUUAAUGAAUUUCGAUUGGUUAAAAAUCAUAGAAAAUAGCUAAACACGAAAAACAAUGCAUUUAUUAUCAAAAUUUUACGUAUUUUUUUAAUAAGUGUAAAAACUGUAGAAUAUACAUUAUUUUAUUUUGAAACGGAAUGAGUAUGUGCUUAGUAAUCAUGAUGAUAUUUUGAGUGAUGAGUUUCCUAAGAUUUAUGUGUAUCUUUGAUUAAUGUAAAAUCUAAGUACUAUAUACACAAAUCGAUUUAUAAAAUAUUUAGGGUCCAUAUUAUAACUGUUCUGUUUCAGAGCAAACUAAUUAUAAGAUGUACUUUGAGUUGAAAAAUCUUGAGUCAUGUUUGAUAUGAAUGUGUACGACCAUUCUUUGUAACUCAGGGUAAAAUAUUUUUGUAUGAAUUGUAGCGAUUUUAGUUUGGUUCGAAUUCAGGCCAUGCAUGUCAUUGUUCGAUUGUUGCACAAUUGGUCAAAUAAACUUUGACGUGGACCAAAUUAGAAGUGUCACACACACUGCCAAAAACCGUGAAGCCAAACCUAAACUCAUCCUAGUAUAGUAAAAAGCAUGAGCCGAAGAGGGUAGCAGAAAUGGGGUUUAUCCUCAAAUUACUUUCAAAACUGUCAACACCACUGAUAGAUUUAUUUUUGAGCCAACAAAACUAGGAGUAGACGGCAAAUAACAACUAUAAUGAAAAAAAAGCUACAUGGAAUAGAAGAAAAGAAAAGGAAAACAUAAAAAGAAAAACUGAUAUCAUGAAAAAUGAGUUUUCGGUGGCUGUAAGAAGCGAUGGCAGCCACCGUAAAAAAAUAUGUUAAAAGAUGGAAAAAAGAUUUUUUUUAAAAAGUAAAAAGAGAAAAAAAAUUAAGAUAUUUUUCAUUAGUUGCAAUAAACUAUUGGUUCUCAUGUAUUUUCUCACUCCAAUUAUCACUUUUAUUUACAGGAGUAUAUUUAAUUUUCAUGUAUAUUUUUAUUUAUAUAGUUGAUCCACUUAACCAGUUUUGAAAUUUCGACAUAAUGUGUGGUAAAUAUCUGCAAUAGUGUUUCUAAGAAACAAAAAAGCUACUGGCAUUUGAACGAUUCAGUUUGAUAUUAUAAGCUAAACAGUAACGAAAACCAGAAUGCUGAGCACAUGCGACAAGCCGCGCAGUAAUUGAUCAAGUUUCUCUUGAACCUUUCAACACCUGUCUUAAUUAUCUGAUCAUCAGGAAAAACGGGUGGCUAGGACUAGGAGAGUGACUAAGAAAAGUCCAGGCGACCAAUUAGGAACUGUUCUUUAUGAUCCGAAAUAUACAAAUCGCUUUUGGUGAUACUGUUUUCUUUUUACUAUUUUGCUGUCAUGAUAAAAAAAAACAUGUUCCAAAUCGGACACUGCUUUGGUCGUCCAGAUUAGAUGAUUUAAUAAAUAUUUGCUAAUCAUCAGGUUUAGACAACAAACCAAAUCUCCAGAUGGACCGAUUGCCACAUCAACAUUAAAAAAGAAACAGUUUAAAACCAGUCAUCGAAUUGUCACUUCAUUAACGUUGUCAAGUUUUAUAUUCUUAAAUAGAGAUACAUAAGAGGAUGGGCACCACGUGAAAUCUAUACCGGCGCACAGUCGUCAAUACAUGAAGUUCGAGAAGUUUCGAACCCAACCCUUUUCUCUUCUUAAUAUUCCGGAACUUUCGAAUUUUUUAAAGUCGAGUGAGUGAGAAAGAGUACUAUAUUUAUAUAAUUUUUUAUUCAAUUUAAUAUUAUCACUCACUUUCCCACUCAUUCCUCCUAUUUAAGCCACCUCCCCAUGGCCUACGUGGAUAUUAUCUUCCUCUCUUCUCCCUCCCAACUGCCAUUAACGAACUCUUAAACCAUAUAUGUCAGCACCACAACAUCAAAUCACUUUCAUCAUUCACUUUCAAAUCCGAUAACAAACAAACAGUUU
rnacentral:lncRNA from 1 species